CGCUGCUGGAGUCUGACUGGGGACAGGUUUAUGAGGACACCUCCAGGUUUAUAGAGACAUCCAGUCUGACUAGACACAGGUCUAUGAGGACACCUCCAGGUUUAUAGAGACAUCCACAGGUCUAUGAGGACACCUCCAGGUUUAUAGAGACAUCCAGUCUGACUAGACACAGGUCUAUGAGGACACCUCCAGGUUUAUAAAGACAUCCAGUCUGACUAGACACAGGUCUAUGAGGACACCUCCAGGUUUAUAGAGACAUCCACAGGUCUAUGAGACACCUCCAGGUUUAUAGAGACAUCCACAGGUCUAUGAGGACACCUCCAGGUUUAUAGAGACAUCCACAGGUCUAUGAGGACACCUCCAGGUUUAUAGAGACAUCCAGUCUGACUAGACACAGGUCUAUGAGACACCUCCAGGUUUAUAAAGACAUCCAGUCUGACUAGACACAGGUCUAUGAGGACACCUCCAGGUUUAUAGAGACAUCCACAGGUCUAUGAGGACACCUCCAGGUUUAUAAAGACAUCCACAGGUCUAU